ensembl:lncRNA
AUUUAGUUACUUCCAAGAAGUGAAAAAUUUCUCUCCUCCUUCCCAAGUGCUAACUAAUUGCUCCCUUUCUAAAGACACAUGCUACCUAAGUGAAAAUAGAAAACCCUAAAAGGCAAACCAGGAGAAAUUUUGCUCCCAUUGCACCCGUGACAUUCAUCGACACUUGCUAAAUGUUUCUGAAGACCAACCAGUGGAUGUGAGCACAGCGAGACGGUGGGUGGUGCGUUUCAGCGGUGGUGGUCACCUCCACUGGUGCAUGUUUUAAUGAGCACAGCAUGCAGGCUUUCGUUUAUAGCUACUGAAAACACAGCUAAUAGUGGUGGCUGUGUAGAAAAAGUGUUUUGUAGCUGAGAAUUUGCUCUAUCAAACUGUGUUAAUUUGCUUUUUGUAUCUGUUGCAAUUUCUAUGAAAACAAAUGAGCAAUUCUUUCAGAGCACCCUAUGUAUGAUUGAAGUAGUGUAGAACAGGAAAAAUAAAAAACCUUGAGAACCAUGUCUCUCUGCCUUAACUGCGAAAAUAAACAACUCAUUUGUCCCAUGUGAAAAGGAAUUAAAACUUCUCACUGAGUCUUAAUCUUGAGUCUGUGUUUUCUCUCUGCUUCAUAAUCUCCACAGAACAAGCCGGCAGCAAUUCUUGAGCCUUUAGGUCCACAUCCUGAGAAAGUUCAAAGCACUUCCUUCACAUAAUGGUUUUUUUUCCUUUCCAAGCGGUCAUGCAGGAAGAGGUGAGACCCACCAAACCACAGUUUGCCUCGCUCCCUGUGAGCAAUGCUGUUGAUAUAACGACCCAGCUCAGACAGGGAAGGAUUUCUAGUGGCUGCCACUGAUUUCCUACAGGAGGGCACUGUGGAAGGAAGGAGAGGUGGUACGCAUGGGGAAAGAUCAAAGUGCUUUCAGAGAUCUGCAGUAGUAUCGCAUUCUUCUUUCGAUUACGUGAGUGCAGCUGAAGACCUGGAGCAGCAGUGAUGAGGUGCAUGCACUGCAGCUACUCCCUUCCCUAUUCUCAUAGGAAGCUCAUGCGUUGAGGGAAGAAGUUCCCAGAGCUUUCUGUGCUGGUGAAAGAGGCAGCUGUGCUAAUUCUGAUACCGAGUAUUCUCUUACAAACUGAGAUGCUGCAAAACUCCUCAGAAGAGCAGAAAAGGAAGACUUACACCUCCGUCUGACACAGUUAAAAUCUCUCCCUGUGCACUUAUCAGCUUGCAUAUCUCUGUGAAACUCUGUGCUUCAGCGAGGGCUACAUCACUAGGCAACUACUGCAAAGAAACAUGAGUUCUACAGGAUUUCAGGGAAGAAUUCUUCCUCUACUUUUGUUCACUUCUGAGUUUGCUUCUUGGCACCCUCUUCCUUAAUGUGAGGUCAGCCAGAGUACUUUCACAGUUUUUCCUGUCUGUUUUGUCGUUUGUUUCUGUUUCGCAGGCUUACAGCUCCGAAGUCUUUCCAAGAGAGAAGAGAAACCAAACUGGAAGAUGAGAGCAUUGCACAGGCACCAAAUGCUGUUUCUGUUCAACCUUUGUUUCAUCGAGAAAAGUGGGUGUCUAAAAUCAAAGCACGCAUUACUUCCCAUCACUUACUUGUAAUCUGAGACUAGUGUUUUAGUGGAGUCUGCUGCCAGACUACAGAGAAAAGGAAACUUAGUGGAUCACCAGGUUUUUCAGCCUCUGAGAAAGAUAACCAACCAAGAGGCUUCAUGAAUUUCUUGAGAAGAUAGAGGAUCUACUGAAGUUACCACUUCUUUCAGAAAACCAUGGCUGUCAAUGACUAAGGCAUGAACAAAGAAAGCUAAAUCUAUUUUAUCUUAUGUUAUAAAAUGUAAAGGAAAUGAUACUUCCAUAAUGUUUUAGGCCUUUCUGCAGAAUUUGUGAAAAUGCAGAAGAAUGGUGUUAGAUCCGGAAUAUGAAGUUUAGGUGGGAGAUUUCUUAGUAAUAAACAGCUUUGAAAAGGAAGAGAGUGAUUUAGCAGGUGUUGCCUCUGCUUCACCAUCCUUCCUGUAAUUCAGAAAUGCCAAAAGAUAGGUGAGUUUCUCAGUGCACACUGAAGGUCAACAAACCUAUCUUUACCAAGGCUGACAUUGUUCUAGUACAGGUUAGAGGAAAGAAAACAAAUGUGAUCUGCUAAGCCUGAGACUACACCCAGAAAUCUGAGCAGUGGUUUUAUGAUUAUCCUAAGCUGUGCUUGAGGAACAGCUAACUGUAAGACUUACAUACUUACUCACAGGCAGGUGUCAGAUGAAGUAGCUGCAUGGAUGCUGGCCAUGCUGAAGUGAAUGGUGCUGAGACUUAAUGAAACAUGGUCACAGUUCCAUCUUUCUGUCAUUAGAUGCAUGUCAGUGCGUCUGACUGCUUGGGGAAAUGCUCUGCAUGCAGUAGAUGUGCUUUCCUAUGGAUACUACCCCAACUGGGAGGGGCAAGUAGUCCACAGAAGAUAUUAUUAUCCACAAUUACGGAUAGAAAGAAGUAAAGGAUGGUUAUUAAUAAGAAGCUCUCAUCUGCAAAGAAAAUUUGGUUUACCUGUGAGUAAAAGCCACUCAGCUGUAAACCUAGCUGCCACAUCACUAACUUAAGGCAGAAAUGUUACUCUAGAACUGGUACAAAAUGAUCACUCACAGAUUCUCAGGUACAGCUGAUGACAUUUCAUGCCCAGCAUAUUUUGUGCUCCAAAUUUCAGGUGACCAAGUGAAUAUCCUCUCAAUAUAAAGACUAAAAUCAAUGACACAAAACAUGUAUAAUUAACUAUACAAGGUUGUUAUAAAAUGAAGUCCUCUGUUUCACAGACCAAGAUUCAUAAUAGUUAGAAGCUAAGUCUCUUGGUGUUUCCAGUAUUGAUUUUUUUUUUCCCCCAUUUCUUUAAUUCUACUACAGUAAUUAUAGAGUCAUAGAAUCAGAGAAUGUCUUGAGCUGGGAGGGACCCAUGAGGAUCACUGAGUCCAACUCCUGACUCCACAUGUGACCACCCAAAAUCCAAACCCAAUGUCUGAGAAUGGCGUCCAGAAUGGUGGCAGCUCAGAGCCAUUCCCACUGCACUGGGCAGCCUGUUCCAGGGCCCCACUGCCCUCUGGUGAAGAGCCUGUCCCUAACUCCCACCUGACCCUCCCCUGACACAGCUCCAUGCCAUUAUAGCAUGGAGAUUUCUGGAGAUGUGUGUCUUUAUGGGAAGGGAGAGAGGAGAAUAAGAAUUUGAAAUUAGUGUUCAGGCUAGGUAGUGACUUGCUGUUGUUAGGUGAUCUUCCCAUGCCCUUUUUACAUUCCUACGUGAAACUGAAAGGAUAUGUAUGAUGUUAAUACCAUUCCACUACCACUGACGCUUGCAGUUGGAAACAUUAGGCCUGAGGGCUUAGUUCAGCUAGUUCCUAAGCAUUUUCUUUUUCUUUAGGCUUUUUGUUUUUUCAUUGAAAAUAGUAGUUGUUGCUUAAAACUCACUCAAAACCAAGGGUUCUUCACCUUGCAAAUCACUAUCAGUACUGAGGGGCAUGAGGCUGGUUACAUAUCGAGCUCUGUAGCCAUCUCUGCUGUCCUCUAGGCUCUGGUGGUCCUCCUUGGGAACCCUAUUCUGUGCACCUGUUCAGAUCUGCCUCUUCUGCUUUCAAAGAACUGCUUCUGACUCACCCCUGGCACCAUCUGAGCACUUCUUACUGUCUCUGGUUUCCAUUAUCCCUGGGAUGGCAUUUAUUGAUCUGAAAUGGGCUACAGAAGCAGAGCUGUGGAGAUCACAGAAUGGGGAACCUGCUGCAAGGAGCAGAGUGGGGAGCAGGCUGGGCAUGGAAAUGGAAACUUGCCUCUCCCCUCAACCUUCUUGUACAUUUGGGCUGGUGGUUUGGGCUGGUGCCAAGGCUCAGCUCUAGGUCCGUUUUCCGUGUUCCUUACAAGGAUGUGGGUUGGAGGGACACCCAGGAAACAUUAGCAGUUGUCUGGAAGGAAGGUCCUAGCUGACAGCCGUGUUGUGGUGUGGGGCUUGGUGCUGUAUCUCAAAACAUCCCAUGUUACCAUCAGUCUGUGCAACCCCUCUUCUUCCAGAGGGUGGAAGAAGCGGUACCUACAAUUCAGUCACAGCAGGCCCUAAGGGGAAUGACUCAGGAGAACCAAGGAACAAACACCACGUACACCAUAUUUCUUUGGGUUUUGGGCAGACUCUUACCAUUUUGUAGAAUCAUAGAAUCAUGGAGUGGCCUGGAUUGAAAAGGACCGUAAUGAUCAUCUAGUUUCAACCCCCCUGACAUGGGCGGGGUCACCAACUGCCAGACCAGGCUGCCCAGAGCCACAUCCAGCCUGCACACUCUUUUAGGGGGGAAACAGCAGGAAACCAAGCGAUGCAAGGCAAUGCCUUUUUCACAGAGGUGCAGACUUCAGUUCUCACAUAACUAUAGCUGUCACUCUUCUUUCUGCACUCACCUCACUGCCUGCUUACCUUAUGAUGCAAAAUGUGCCUCGGGAUAUUUGUGGUGAUGUUGGUGAAAAUAUUACAAAAACAGAUAAUUGGAGAAUCAAGGCUUGGCAAACUGUUGUUCGAUCUGGCAAUAUAGCAAAGUGUGUCGUUUGCCAAGAGCAGUCUCAUCUGAUAGACUUUUGGGACCAAGAGCUGGCAAAUGAGUAAGCCUCACAUGAUUACCUUUAUUUUUGCUUUAUGAGCAAACAAAAUUCAGAGGUGGAGGGUAUAAACAAAGAAAGUGAAACUGGGAGAGUUCAUGUGUUUACGGCCUAAGAGCCCACACCUUCCACUGAGGCUUGUAAGAGGCUUAUGUGCUGUGCACAUAAGGUUACUUUGGGAGGGAGGAACUGGGUAGCACAGCUGCAUCUGCCUCCCAUACAGAAAGAAUGCUGCUGGAUCGUGAUGCAGCAUAGUAAUGUGCAUUAACAGACCUUCAGCUCCACAGACUUUACUCUCUUCCUUCCCUGUGGAUGGGUGUGUCUAACUGACAGCCGCCCAGCUUUGUAUUCUUUGGGCUUCCUGUAUAUGACUGUACGUGCAACAUAUUCAGUACAAAAAUAGCAAAAGAGAAUCAAGAAGUAGUAAAUCACCUGGUAAAAGCUGGAGGUCAUCAGACCAUGUCUUACAGAAGGUGCACAGGCUUUGUCCCCCACAAAGCAGGUCCCAGCUUGUUUUGUUUUCUGCAGCGUACAAAGGCCAUCUACUGGGCCUUAACACAACUGCUGUUAGGUGUGAUGUCUUGUGUAACAUCACUGAGCAUGGCACUGGGUGAUUGGGAUGAAUGUGCAAGUCCUUAAUUGAAAUUACUCAAUCACAGAAUCAUUAAGGUUGGAAAAGACCGCUAAGAUCAUCUUGUCCAACUGUCAACCCAUUGCCACCACGCCCACUAGCUGUGGUACACAGACCUUCUAUCCACUGAGCAGUUUAACUGCACUGGCAGAAAUAAAAACUCUUCUGUUUCUUUCAGAAGACUACAAAAACUGGUGCUGCACUUGACCUGAUUGGAUUAUUUGUAACUUAAGUGGCAGGUGUUGCACCUUAAAUGGCAGUUUCAGUCAGCACCUUUUGUUUCCCUCCUUCAAAAGACAUAGACUUUCAGUGGUUUUGAUUUAAAAAGAAAAAAAAAGAAAAAAAAAAAGAAAGAAAAGGAAAAAAAGAAAAAAAAAGAAAAAGAAAAAAAGAACCAACUGUAAGCUCCAGUGCUUUGCUUUUCUGUGCUGGCACAUCUGAUGGUGAGGUGGCAAGGUGCUUCCUGUUUACCUACAGAAAUCUCAUCUUCCAAACCAAACCUUGAUCUCUGGGGACCCCUUCUUAAGCCAUGGUUCGGCCUUGAUCUGAGAGUGGAACACAGCAUGUUCAGAUUUCUCUAGCAUUGCAGCUGGUGGCUGUGCAGUACUUCUCACAGCUGUGCUUGGCCUCCUUUGGCUGUCAAUCACAUGGGCAUUGUUCUGGGGCAGAGUCCAUGGUAGAGUGCACGAUGGGUGGAAGAUAGAUGUGCCACAAGCAUAACAAAUGAUCUGUUUUAUCAACGUGACAGGGUUAAUGUGUAUCUGAUAAAAAAUUUGGUGUUAACUGGAACUGUGCAAGGGUGAGAGAUGAAGAAGCUUGACUUCCUUCCAUUAACUGCACAUCAUCUGGUGCGUUAUGUGCACGCUGAGAACUGGACUUCCACUCUUCCUUUUCAACUGUAGUCUGAAUUUUUAACCAUGUUGAAGACUCUCUGCUUCUGCAAACCUCUUGGUGCAGACAUUGCUAAAUGUAAUUUUUCAGACUACUGCGCUGCAGGAGCAGAUGCAUAGUAUCCAAACUAUAAUGAAAUAAGUGCAGCAGAAGAAGGGCACAGGCAUUCUCCUCAAAGUUCAAAUGACACUUUGGUCCUUACCUCCUUUUUAUCUUCUUUUCCACAAACCUGAGCACGAAGCAUAAUCAUGUUCUUGUGCUAGUGUUGGGAGGAAAGCUUGGCCUGGCGCAGUUGUGCACAGCUACUCAUGAACAGAAUGUUUUUAUUCAGUCUGUGAUCAGUCACUGCUCAGCAUUUGUUAUUUCCAUGGACUCAUCAUGGACAAAAGGAAUAUGCAUUAACUUAGCUAUCCGGUCAUCACACCAGGAGGAAAAAAGAGAACACUCUCACACGUUAUUUGUGUGACUUCUUAAUAAAAGGAAAACAACCUUUUCCAUUUUCUUGCCUGUUCCCCACAAGAAGCAAACAAAUGAAAGUAUUUACAUGAUUUUAGUUAAUACGAGGAUUGUGCGUUCAUGGUGUUCAAGGAACUCUGCAAGGAGAUGAACUGGAAUGAGAAACAGAAUCCUGGUAAGGGUGUUCUUAGAACCUCAGAGAAAAUUUCUCCCCCGGGCAUAUUUAGUAUGUUUAUAUUUAGCAUAUUUAUACUUUGGAGGAAUUAAUUUGGCUCAGUAUCGUCUUCCUCAUGGAUUCCUUUUAUAUGUUUAUGACCUGAGAAUGCCCUCCCUUCUCCUCCCCUUUGCCUCUGUUUAAACCACAACAAAAGGUCAGACUGGAAGCAGAAUCCUGGGCAGAGGAAGAACAGGAAAGCUGUCUGUGUUUCCUUUUAUUCCUCCAUUUAAGAGACGAAUAUCCAGUGCAAUUACCCACCCAUCUGCAUGACACAGGCUGUGUUUUGAAUUCCUGUCUGUAGUGGGGGAGCAUCCACAGGUUCUUCUAAACAAAAGGAAAGCUUUCCCGGGAGAGAAAGGAAAGGUAUUCUGGAUGGAAGAUAAACCUGAGAAUACACACAAAAUGGCUGUUUGGUGAAGUCUGCCGUAUUUAUUUAUUUACCUUAAUAGAGGCAUAUUCUAUAAAUUCAUUUUCUAUAGAGAACUUCCUUCUCUGGUAUUUAUUUGUAGAAGCAGAAUGGUUUAGUGAGGCAUAUAUGAGGACAUCUUGGCUUUCAAGUGAAGCUGGGAUGGAAGGAUCAUUAGAAGGUGAGUUAGAUGCUGUCUCCUGAGCAUUACGUUGAGGAACACUGUCAUAAAUCUUGUUGACAGGCAAGAGCUGAGGUGGGCUAGACAUGGAACAGUAAAGUGAGGAGCUUUCAUCUGUAUCUGGAGUUGUCCCAUCAGCGUGGGAUGGAAGAGCUGAUAGCCUUCUGACCUGCAAAAGACGGAACAGGGUACAGCUCUGUGCACAUCUGGCUAUUGCCUGUGCUCCUGCUAGAUAGAUAAGAUGUGGGUAGGAGUCUGUUGGCCUUGCUGUAUCCCUUUAAAACUGCUUUUGAAGAUGGGUACAUUGGACUCACCUGAUCACUGGAUUUUCUUUUGAUAUCUGAAAUAAGCUAGAAAUCAUACUUGUGUCUCUAGUCUUUCUCCCCUUCCCAAACUCAGUCAUGUCUUUCCUUGCACAAUUUCAACUUAAGGCAAAACUGAUUUAUCCUCUUGAGAGCUCUUCCAUGCCACUCAUUCACGCUCUUCUUUCCAAGCCUAUUAAAUCCUCAUUUUCACCUCCAAACCCCAAAGUAUCUUUCUGACUGCCCUUAUUCUCCUAUUUCCAGAUCUCUGACCCAUUACCAUUUUUUUUUUCUUUUUAAAAAAUUAUUCUCCAAAUAAAUCUCUCUUCUUCUCCCAAAUCUGCAAAUCCAUCUCUCUCUAAAGAAAUCCUCUUUUGGCAUCCAUUUUUUUCCAGCCACUUAGAACUCACUGCUUUCAGUUUUCUUUCCCCCACCUUGUCUUUCAGGAGCACUGCAGUCCAUUUGGUGCCCUUUGAUCCUUACCACAGCUUUUCUUGUGAGUGACAGCUGCCAGCUCCUGUCACAUCUUUUGCAUUCUGCCUUCUGCUCAUCUAAUUUCUUUGGAACCAAUUGCAAGAAUUGUGUGAAUUCAUGCCAGCCACAUAGCAAAGCAUUCUUCUCAAUCAUUGUACUGACCCUGUGGGUGACUUUUUGUCCUGUACAGUCAGAACUAGGUCAACAGAGGUGCUUCAGGUGCCUAAACUCCUGCUGGAAUGGUUUUACAAAUUAACGCAUUUUAAAAGGAGUUUAGAUGCUUAAAGUACCUUUGUGGCAAAAAUGCUGAGUUCUUUCCCUUCAGCUCAGGCAAGGUGAUACCUCAUUCCAGGGAAGCCAUUCUUUCCAGGCAGCACAAUUAAACCUGUCUCCAAUCCUACUCCACAUUUUAAACUAUGCAAAAAUUUAUUUUCACUACGUGGUUCUACUGGACAUUAUCAGGUUUCAGUGGUGGCAGAAUUUAAGCAUACCCGGCUCUCUUGUCUCUGUGGUGCUGAUGGAGUUCUCUUACGCUUUCCUAGGAAGAAGAAAAAAAAAAGGGAUGUUUCAAUCAAUCAGCAUUGAGAAGAUGCCUUUCUGCUCACAGAGGCGUAUAGAUUACCAAAGCAGCCCUUGCUUUAUUGAGUGCUCCCCAAAGAAUAAAAAUCUGUCUCCAAACUAUAUUUAGGGAUUGUUUCACUGCCAAAAGGUAGUCAGCAUAAAAUGAUGUUCUUAUAGAAUGUGUUUCUGUGUUCCUCAGAGCUUCUCUGAGUAGGAACAGAUAAAUUCCUGCUGUACUUGGGGUUAGUUGUCUUUCUAUGCAGUGAAAUGGAAAGAAAAGGUAUGGAAAAAUCCUUAAGCCAUCCCAUGAGAAAACAAAUAAUCGAUUGCUUCACUUAAUGAGAUGUGGGGGACUCCAGGAUUCCCUAUUGACUUCGAGCAUGGAAGCUGAGUAAGAGUUCCUGUAAAACGGGAGAGAUUAAUACUGCAACUGUUUGAUAGCUCAGAGGGACAAGUGGGAAUAUAAAAUGCAACUGAAUAGAAUAUGAUGGCAUUGAUGUGGCUAAAAGUCUUACUCAUUUGUAACUUGAUUGCUCAAAAAGCCAGGAGAAAAAAUUCCAACUAUUAUAAAAUCUGUAUAUUUUACUUGCUCUUUACUUUCACACUUGUCUCUCUGGAAGGGAACAAAACAUGGAAUAAAUCAAACUUUUUGAAGAUUCAUUAUUUUAACCUGCACACUUGACAAGGACAAUUAAUUGGGUUUUCAUUAAGCCUUGAAUGAAACUAUAACUAUGGAAUCAUAUACACAGUAAGGGAAUAUUAUAUUAUAAAACUGCUCACCAUAGUACCUCCUUAGACUCCAAAACACGCAUAUGAAGAUGAAUGGACAACAUAGACCCACGGGUACUGAAGCAUAAAUAAUGUGCAAUGUCUUGUGUUUUCCAUGUUCUUUUGACUUAGUAGAGGCAUCUAAAACUGCAUUAACAUGCAUUAGCAUAGGGUAAUAUUUGACUGGAGAUUUUAGCAUUUGUUCUUUCCGAUGCAACUGGCUUCUUAAUGUAAUUAAAACAUUCUUUAGCUUGGUACAGCAUGUCAUGAGAUAGCCAUCUCCAGGGACAUGUUAGCAAGUAUGAAGAUACUGGAAUGAAAGCUGUGUGGAAAAGUGUUGCUGAGGAAUGCUACAUAGCACAAGACCGACAGAAACAAACAAAGGGUCAGAAUUAAAGCAUAGCUUUAAGCUUCCAAUGCAUUCUAAGAUUAAGGUCUUUCUUCCUUUUCUUUUACUGUAGCAUUUGCACAGUAGACAAAAACAACUAAAAAGCUUUCUGAUUGAUUGGAUCUUGACUGAUUUGAAUGGACAAGCCUAGAAAUGAAUGUUGUUAUAGCUUAUGCUCAUGGUAUCAUUUAGAAGAUAUUCAUUUUAGGGGUCUAACUUUAAGACCAAAACUCAUAACAGUACUGGUUGCUUCGUUUCUCUUAAAGAGGAAAUAAGAAAUCAGAACUUACUUUUUGAUGAAGGUGUGGUGAUGUUUUCAGACUUUUCUGAAAGAGAAAAAUAAGACAGGGAAAUGAAACUGCAGCCUGACAGUUUGCACUGCAUUUGUGUUCUCUUCUCCACACACUGAAGUGUCAACAAACCUCACCUUCAACCUGGUGAUGGAAGAGGGAACAAAAUACAGCAAACAAAAGCUGCAGUGAUUUGUGGGAGAGGGAGAUGAAGUGUUGGUCUUCCACUGCUGACAAAGUGGUUCUAUGUCUCAGGCCUCCUUGGUACUCAUAUACAUACAUUAAUAGAGCACAUACACUGAGAUCUAUGUCACCAUUUAUUCAUGGUGUGAUAAUUGUGAAUAUACCAUACUGAUACUCAAGAAUCUCUGCUCUUCUUGCCUCAAAUGAAAUCUGUAUCGUGGAAGCUGGGAAAAUACUGUGCCUGAUAGCAGAUUGUAGCCAUAAAUUCUGGUGUUGCUGUUUCUGCUGCAACUUUUCCUGUGGCAAAAAGUAACAAUGAUUACAAGUCCACUAACUUAUUAGGAGAAGAAAUGGCAACAGAACAGUUUUAUAACCACACAGUCUUAGUUGGACAUUACAGAUGUGCAGAGUGCUUUCUAGCAGCAGAGCAAUGUUGAGGAGGGCAGAUGUGGUUCACCGUAACCUAGACUUCACAACUGGCUAAGUUAGUAUCACUUGUCCAUUACUCCCUGAGGGUAUUUAAAGCUCAGUGAUCUUUUCUGUUCUUGAACUUCUUGGGUACAAAAAUAUACUUUCUCUGAUCUAGCAGGUGGCAACUCACAGGGGGGCUGAAACUAGAUCAUCAUUAAGGUCCCUUCCAAGCCAAGACAUUGUAUGAUUCUAUGACUCUCUAUUGCAAAAUCAGUCUCAACAAGAGGCUUGAAUUGCUUUGUUCUCUUUACUGUUGUGUUGCCUCAUCAAUUACAAAUACAUGCCUAUUGGCAUUCUGUCUAGUCAUAUAGCAUAUUACAAGGCUGUCCUCUCAUAGUCUUUCUUCAUUUCAGCUGAUAUUUUUAAAUUAUUGAAUAAUUCAUUAACGGCCAUUUGAUGCUUUGCGUUUCUAUUCCAGAUCCUCCUUUUAUUUUUCUCUUUUUCUCUUUCCCCAGCACCAAGAGACAGGAUAGAAGCAUGAAGGUGGUAAUUAACCACAUAGCUGAUUUUGGACUGUUACUAUGCUACCAGAAAAACAUGCUGGGAGAAGCCAUCAUCCACCGUGAAUGAGUUUUCUUGUAUAAGGAAUCCACUUGUUUAUGAGACUCACUUUAAACAAUAACAGAAUCACAAAAUCACAGAGUUGUAGGAGUUGGAAAGGACCUCUAGAAAUCAUCGAGUCCAACCUCUUCUGCUAAAGGAGUUCCCUGCAGCAGGUCACACAGGAAAGUGUCCAGGUUGGUUUUGAAUAUCUCCAGAGGAGACUCCACAACAUCUCUGGGCAGCCUGCUCCAAUGCUCUGCCACCCUCACAAUAAAGAAGUUCUUCCUCAUGUACGUAUGGAACUUCCUGUGUUCCAGUUUGUGCCUAUUUCUGUUGUCCUGUCACUGGGCUCUGCUGAAAGAGUCUGGCCACAUCCACUUGACUCCUGCCCUUUAGAUAUUUAUCAACAAUGAUGAGAUCCCUCUCAGUCUUCUCCAGAGGGAAUAGUCUCUCAGCCUUUCUUCAUAAGGGAGAUGCUCCAGGCCCCUAAUACUCUUUCUGGCCUUUCACUGGACUCUCUCAAGAAGAUCCUGUCUUUCUUGAGUGAGGAGCCCAGAACUGGAUGCAUACAGAGUGGCCUCACUGGGGCAAAGUAGCUGGGGAGGACCUCUUCCCUCAACCUGUUGUCCACACUUUUCAAUGAAACCCAACUUUUAGAGUCCAACUGGUCCCAGUAUUGUUCUGGUAAUGAGGAAGAGCUCCAGAGUGAAAAUGUUGGACUCUGAUUAUGCUUUGCUGUCAUUCAGCAGCACUCAUCCUUCCACCUCUGUCUUGAACAACUGUGUGACUGGUCUUUCCUUGCAGUAAUGAACUAGACAGUGUAUAACCAAGUAGUUAGCAAUACAGAUUUUGUUCUCAGAGUUUUUUUGAACUUUAGUUUCAACUAGACAAUCACUGGCACCAAAUCCAAGAAAAGAAAAACAUGAGAAAAAUCGUGAUGUGUGGGGAUUGGUUAUAUAUUCAUAAAGCCACUAAUCAGUUUCUUUUCUCUCUCAUUUUUGUUAGGCUUUCUUUGUCUACUUUCAGGUCUUAUCUCCAUAUGAACACUGAUAGCAGAUAAAUCAAGACAACAGCUUCCUUCAUUUUUAGGAGUUUUGUUAAAAUUGACUUUCUCCCUCUGACAUGAAUAUCAGUUUAUAUCUCAAUCAAAUCUGGAAUUGUAGUUUAGAGAGAAAAUACAUAAAAUAUGUGUAGAAGAUUUUCCUAUGUCAUCCUUCUCACAGACACUUUCUGUUACUUUUAGAUUUAUUUCAGAUUAUUGUUUACUACGCAAUCAUUAAUAAUUUACAGAAGUAAAGGCUUUUGUUUGGUAGUGAUUUGUUAUAACUGGAAUAAUGAAAAUAAUUAUAUGUAUCUUAUCUCCAGUUCUUCAGUUUUGUAAAGUUCUGCUAAACUCAAGUGUUCAAGCUGUAAUAUAUCUCUUCUACUUUGGGUCUUACCAUUGAAUGACCUGACCUUUUAAUAAAGAUUUUUGUUUCCUAUGGUG